AAAAACAGCCUGCGUUCGGGACACAAGAGACAAGGCGCGGAAGUGGACGCAGUCAGGCUUCUCGUGAAGUGGGGGAGGAGGGGCCACGACCCAUCUUGGCAAGGAAGGCUUAGGUUACUCCGUUCAUAUUAACUUGUUCCACCUGUCCCUCAUUCUCAUCAACAUCUACAUGUUGCUGUGCUUGUUUGCUUUCCCACCAAUCCCAGAUUGUUGUUGGGCCCCAGAUUUGAUUCCCAGUUCAGCCCACACACAUCAGUCCUUGCAGCUCUACCUGAACGUAAAUGCUGGAAGAGUCAAAGGAGUCAAAGACUUUGGAUCUGAGUCAUGGAGAUCUGAGACAGACGCCCUGUGCUGCUCUGAGAGUUAAAUCGGAUCCAUGGAGGUGUGACGUCAUCAGGGCAGGGCCCGGCUCGUGACCUCGGGGCUUGGCUGUCGCGGGAGGGUGUGACUGGAAGACAGGAACAUUCAGAGUGGAGUGGAGUGGCUGCUGAAACACACAUGGGAUGCAGAUGUGACCAGCGCCUCUCCGGUGCACCACUCCAGCCCAGCCCGACCCGACCUGACACCUGCCUGGCCCCCAGCACAAACCCAGGCCGUGCUAGGCCAGGAGGCCCUCCCAGGCACAACACAGGGGACCUCUGCUAUAUUAAAAGAAAACAAGAGCACUGAGCCAGUUGGAGUGCACAGCUAAUCCCUUGGCCAUGAGCAAAUUCUUAUUGGAAAACUUUGUUGGAGCCCCAAGAGAAAAAAGAGACUUUAAAGAAAGAGAGAAAAAAGGGUUUUAGGCAAGUUUCGGAACGCGGGGGUACGAGAUGGAGAAGACAGCGGGAGGCGGAAGAUGAGACGAAAUGAAGUCGGGGGCACCCUGGCUGACAGGCCGGAGCAGCGGGGCGCAAGAGCCUCAUCUCGCCGACGAUCGGCGCCGCUGACGGCCGGAGGAUUUCCAACGGCGUUGUAAAAGAAAUAAGUGAUUGUCUCAUUUCUUAUAUCCCAGUGGGGCAAUUCUUUAAGGCUUCCUAGAAAACUCCCGAACGAAACCCUGCGUGAGAGCCUUCGCUACUUAUUUACAUCUGAAAAGACGGCCAAGCCCUAUGCAAUUAAUUAGACUCGCCGGCACGGAGACAUAUUUCGUCUGCUAAAAAGCAUUUCUCCACGUUCCUUCGGUUAAGCAUCAGUGAAAUCAAGCGAUAAAUGAACUGCAACAACAUGAACUUCAACGACGCACGCAAUGAUUUCCUAACAGCCCCGGCUCUCACACUGCACGGUCUAUUUCUAUUUCCUUAUAAUUAUAUAAAUUCAUCAUCUGUAAUUGACGUAUCAUUAGGGGGGGAAAUUAAAACGUACGGUAUCAGUCGCUGUCAGAUUCAAUACAUCAAACACAGCCUGACUGUUGAAUACUAAACAAGUAAUGGAUAACCAAAAAUAGAGCACAAAAAACAUAAAAGAUACGUAUAAUUACAACGUGGGAGCUGCCGUUCUAGCGAAACUAAUUAGGGAAAGCGCCGAAACGAUGGUAACAAAGGCCGGGCACCUGACACACGAGGAGAUCGCAUACUUUCUUAAUUUCCUCCCCAGGGACGGCGGCGCUCCUCGCCGUGUCCCGUCUCCACUCUUCGUCACUCCCUCAUCUCUCCCUCGGUUUGACGGCACCGUGAACUCCAACCUAUCAGCAGAUCAUUAAGCCGAAGGAUUGCUUUACGUAACUUUUCUACACUUAAGGAUUCGGGUUUCAGAACUAUUAACCUUUUCCUCCUUUUCCCAGAAGUACAACCAGACUUCUGGUAGGCUAUAAUGAAAAUAAUCAAUCAAUAAUCAUCAAUUACUGCAAUGUAAGAUUGAAUGUAUCCUAAUAUCCGAACUAUUCAAUUAUUGGGUAAAAUCGAGCAAUUCGGGUGUCAGGAGGUGCGAGGGACGAUAGAGAAAAGAGUCAAAGCCACUUAUGACUCCGUUUCCCUUUCAUGCCCCCUUUUCUUCGACGAAAUUAGAUUAAUUUCAAUGUACACUGAACGACGUAAAGUUUCACAUGAAUCCUAGUUUGCUCUGGACUGAUGCCCAUCCUCACCUCUCAAUCAGGGUGAAGGAUGUCUUCCUUGGCAUAGAGUUUUCUUCUUUCUCUUUGAAUCGG